rnacentral:lncRNA from 1 species
CAUGAUUAUUCUCUGAAAGCUCUUUUAUGGUUUGACUUUCUGGCUCAUCUUGAUGCCUAAGGUAAAAAGAAAUUUUCUUGUCUUCACCUCAGAUCAACAGUUCUCAUAUCAUGGAAACCCAGCCAGCAAGAAUCACACAUAUCAUCCUUACAGAAACACAGGGAAAGAGGCACAGAGAUGCUGUUGCUUGAUUUACAGCCACAGUUUGGAGUCAGAUGUUGGAAAGAGAGGGGCCUCAGCCCUCUGUUUUCUUUAGCAGUAAUGCUUUUCUCAGAGCAGCCAGUUACUCUCACUGACCUGAUUUUUGAAUAUGAUGGUACACUAUCUUGUUUUUUGGAUUUCUGUGUAAGUGUCUUGAAUCUUUAUACUUAAAUAUAGAACUUUUCUUUUUGCUAUUGAUGUUAAUUCAUCUUCAGGUGUACACCAAUCCACAAAAUAAAAGCUGUUGUCUCUGGACUCCUUCUUUUUCC